rnacentral:tRNA from 1 species
UGUUUAAUGUUAGAAUACGUAAUUAGUAUGCUCUGCAAAAGUAUAGAUAGUAACGAUGUUUUACUCGUAUUUU